ACGGGGAUGGGCAUGGAGAAAGAGGAAUAUCACUUCAGGUUCAAGUUGCUAGUUUUGCAGAGUGUAAAAUUACUGCACAAGUCCCAGAGAAUAAACAGAGUUAACACCCCAUUAAAUACAAUGGACUUUCAACGUGAGCUCCAGACGUGCCUAGAUUGAAACUAGCUGAGCAGAGCUGGCCCGUGAGUAAAAUGUGUCACGUGCACUGCCUUCAUGCUUCCAAAGAGAAAAAUCCAGCGCAGGGAGAAGAAAGCGCCAGCAGCAGCUCCUGCAGGCUCAGGGCUGAGGAUCCGGUAAUGAAGUCUUUCUAGAAGAAUACUGUGCUCACAGCUGUUGGAUCAUUUGUCAGAUCCUACUGUAAUUAGCUACUGUGAGCUUCGGUGGAGAGACUUCCUCAAGUUUGCACCCAAAACACAUAACGGAGUUUCACUCGUUACCCAGCCUGGAGUGCAAUGGCACGAACUCGGCUCACCGCAACCUCCGCCUCCUGUGUUCAAGCAAUUAUCCUUCCUCAGCCUCCCGAGUAGCUGGGACUACAGACGUGCGCCACCAUGCCCAGCUAAUUUUUUGUAUUUUUAGUAGAGACGGGGUUUCACCAUGUUGACCAGGAUGGUCUCCAUCUCUUGACCUCAUGAUCCACCAACCUCGGCCUCCCAAAGCGCUGGGAUCAUAGGCGUGAGCCACCGCUCCCGGCUGGAACUUCUUGACCAACAGCAGAGAGGUGUGUCUUGCCCAGGGGCUCACCUGUUAUUGGGAUUUCAAGUUUAGCCAGUCUAAAACAGAAUCCCUGAGUUUUCUUCCGUGAGGUUUCAUACUUUAGUCGGCAAUCUCAGGCCAUGGCACCUCUAUCUACUACCCAGUUUCCCAAGCCAAAAAAAGCGGAGUCAUUCUUUUUCCUUUUCUUUGAUGGAGAUGGGGUUUCACCAUGUUGCCCAAGUUGGUCUCGAACUCCUGGGCUCAAGCAAUCCACCGGCGUUGGCCUCCCAAACUGCUGGGAUUACAGAUGUGAGCCACUGUGCCAGGAAAAACGGAGUCAUUCUUGAUUCUUUUUCUUUUGUUCUCCACAUCCCAUUCCUCAGCAAUUCCUGUCCGUUAUACUCCCAAACUAUAUCCUGAGUUAAUCUGUCCUUCCCCACCCACUCUAGGCUAAGCCACUGUCAUUUCUCACUUGGGCUCCUGUGCCAGCCUUCUCACUAGUCUGAUUCUUCUCUUGUCUCCCCUGCAAUUCUCUACUGGCAGCCACAGUGACCCUUUAUUUUAUUUUUGAGACAGAGUCUUGCUCUGUCACCCAGGCUGGAGUACAGUGGUACAAUCUUGGCUCACUGCAACCCCCACCUCCUGGGUUCAAGGGAUUCUCAUGCCUCAGACUCCUGAGUGGCUGGGAUUACAGAUGUGCACCACCAUGUCCAGCUAGUUGUUCUUUUUGUUUUUGUAUUUUUAGUAGACAAAUGAACAUGGUUUUACCAUGUUGGCCAGGCCGGUCUCCAAUUCCUGGCCUCAAGUGAUCUGCUCACCCCCACCUCCCGAAGUGCCGGGACUACAGGCCUGAGUCACUGUACUUGGCCCAGUGACCCUUUAAAAACAGAAAUCAGAUCUUGUCACUCAGUUGUGUAGAACUCUCUUCACAUUACACUUAUGACAAACUACACACUCUUUAUGGAACUUCUGAGGAUCUACGUGACCUUGCUAUUGCCUGCCUUGCAGCUCCAAAGCCUCUCAUUUACUCUGCUCCAGCCUCACCAGCUUUUUCCUACGCCUUGAAAUUCCAGAGCUCAUUCCUGCCUCAGGACUUCAGCCUUUCUAUACCCUCAGCCAUGCAUUGGGCUGGCUCCUUCGAAUCAAUCUGGUCUUUCUUCAGAAGAUACUUUUUCAGAAAGUCCUUUUCUCUCCCCUAGCUUAUAUCAUCUCCUCUUAUCUAGGUGAUUAGCUGAGAUGAGUUUGUUAGGUUACUUGUUUAUAGUCUCUUCUUCCCCAGCAAUAUGUAAGCUCUAUGGGGGCUAGGACCCAGAACAAUUCCUAACACAAGAAAGAUAUUCAACAGACAUUGCUGAAUAGGUCUAAUUCAAGUUCUCAGACCCACCGUACUAUGCUACGGCUUUGAACUCAUGCCACUCCCAUUAGUUAUCUCUAAGACAAUAUGGGUACAGCAGAAUGUAGAGUCACAGCUAUCUGGGUAUGAACCAUUUCUCUACCUGUUCCCUGUUCUGUAACUGCACAAAUCACUUCUCCUAUCUGUGUCUUAAUUUACUUACUGUAAAAAUGAGUAUAGUAGUCCUACUCUAUAAAGUUGUGGGAGGAAUUACAUAAUUUAUAUACAAAGCACAGCAGAGUGGCCUCUAGUGUGUGUCUAAUUGCCAUUUCUCUUUUCCCUUGAGUCUUCCACAAAUUAUAACAGUUCAUUUUUAAGUGUCUUCUACUCUGUGACAUGCACUAUUCUAAGUGUUUUACAUGGAUUGACUAAUUUAAUCUACAUAAAAACUCUACAGGACAGAAAUGAUAAAUAUCACUACGUUACAGAUGAGAAAACUUAACAGAGUGGCUUAUGCAACUCGCCUAAGGUCAUAUAAGAGGAAAGCAGCAGACUCCAGACCUCAACCCAGCAGUGUUGUCCAAUUUCAGAGGUAGUAAAACAGUCAUUGACUAUCUUUACUGUGAUCCCAUGGUAAGAAACACAUUUUACAUCAUAAGUAUGUGUAGACAUGUAACUGUAUCUAAAGUAUAAAUAUGUUUCACAAAAUAAUAACCUUACUACCUGUGUGCAUUGAUAGUUUCUCUUCAUUUUAAUUUUUAAAAAUAUUUGACCAACUUACUGAUUUAAUGAUCUAUUAAUGAGUCAAAACUGCACUUUGAAAAACUGCUUGUCUAAAUUACAAUUUAUCCAACUGUUCUGACCUUUCAGCUACCUCAACCUCUACCAGAAAAACUGAUGGCUAUCAGUUCACAUUUUCGUAUUUCAUUUAUAUUCCAGAUGAAGUCCUUAUUAAUUAUUAAGAUACUGAUCACCCACCCUGACUCAGAUCUACUCCCCAUUGCAAACUGUUUUGCAUUUAUGGAAAAAUAUCUCAUCAGGGAGUCCAGCCAUCUCUAAGAAGUUCAGUCCGUUCCAUCUGGCUACUCAACUGGAAGGACGAUGGAGUUUUGUCAUGCUGCCUAGACUGGUUUUGAACUCCUGGGCUCAAGCGAUCUGCCUGCUCUGACCUCCCAAAGUGCUAGGCUUACAGGAGUUUCAGAAGGCAGAACAGAAAGAGAUACUUCAGCUUACCUCAUCUUCAUGCCUCUGUUCAUUGCCUUCUGCUGCAUUUGAAGACUCACUCGGAAGCAACUGACCUUGGGAGAGAUCCUCCACAAAUUCUGGAUUGUUGGUGGAUGAUGUGGCACCACUACUGUAUGGAACAUCUGGGUGAUUUAACCUGAAUAGACGAAAGUAUCAACAACACAAAAACUCAACCUAUUUACCAAGGUUCUAGACAAAUUUCCCUGCCAGCAAAAGAACAUGCCAGUCCUUGAGUUAAUUCUCCCAAUAGUCUGUAUAAAUGAAAAAAAUGUCUUCACAGAAGUUACAGAGUGUUUUAAAAAACUGGUUGCAGUGCUUGAUUAAACCAGGUCAGUUCCAUGAAGACAUCUCCUACCAAAAACAACUACAAUCUUUUUCCGAAAAGAUGAUCUCCCCUCAACAGUGCAGUGGUGUGACUUCAUGUUUUACUUCUGAACAUGCAAUAGAAUCUGAUUUAAAUGCUACCUUUCAUGUAUCUCCAAGAUGAGUUAGCAAACCAGAUCUCACCCUUCUGAAGAGUGAAUACAAGAAGGUACAGAUGAUGGUAGGGUCUUAGAUGGACUUACCUUAUUACAUGUGGACAAAGGAAUAGAAGAAAAGGAGUGAGGUAGAAAAACCAAGAGAAGAGACUGAGAAGACAUUAAGAGACCUGGAGAGAAGACUAUUGCAGAGGCCAAGGAAGGAAGACUUUUGAGAAGGUAGCUAAUCAAGUAAAAAGCUGCAGAUGUUAAAUAAGAUAGGCCAAAAAGUAUCUGCUAUGAAGGUCACUGGCAAUUUUAGGAAGUAUAGUUUUAGUGGAAUUAGGAAAAUAAAUACUAGAUUACAGUGGACUGAGAAAUAAAUGAAAACAGGAAGCAGACUGCCCUGGGAAUGAAAGAAAUUAUACUUUUCUGACCCUUUCUAGGAAACAUAAAUAAUUUUAGCAUGAGAUUCCCACAUUUUUGAGGUCCUAAAAAAGAGUAUGUAAAAGAAGCUAUGAAAUCAAUGCAGAUCAUUUUCUCUGAAAAGCGGUACCAUCGAGAUCCAGUGUGAUCUCUGCAGUGCUGUUUUCUAAAUAUUUCAAUCAUUUUGGAUGUGUUAAGCAACUUGUUCUUUCACUGUCAUUCUCAUUUCAACUGUGCCAUCAGUUUUUAAGUUAUUAAUUCUUGUACAUUCUUAUUUAGUAAAAUAAGAGAACUAGGUUUGGGAAAGAGUAGCAAUCCCAUGAAUCCCUGACUUAAGUGGGCAGGAAUGGUCAAAAGCAUCACAUGCCUUCUUGAUGACAUGUUGAAGACUAGGAAAAAAAAGGAGAUCUUUUGUUACCAUGAAUAAACUAUCCAUGUUCCUAGCUAAAGACAACAACUCUUCUAUUUGCACCCUUGAUCUCACACCCUCUUGCCUACAAACCAAAGGGCAGAUUUUCAGCAAUUCUGUCCUUCCUGGCAACACCAAUGCUUUUCUCUCCAUAGGAUCAGCCUAAUCAGCAUAUACGUAUAUUAAUUCUCUUAGCACGAAACUAAAUGAAAAGAAAAAAAACUCAAUCCAACUUCCAGUUGAGGUCCCAAUUUUUCUUCUUUCCUUUAUAGCAAAACCCCUGGAAAGAACUUGUUUAUAUGUAUUGACUUAAAUUUCUCUCCUUGCUUAAACCCACUUCAAGGGAGAUAUGUGCUUAUAAGUCUUGUCAAAGCCACCAAUGACCCCCAUGCUAAAUCCAGUGUCAUUUCUCAGCCACCAUCUUACCUGAUGUACCAGAAGUAUCUGAUACAGUUGAUUUUUUUCCUCCCUUGAAAUAUCUUUUUUUUUCUCACUUGGGUUCCAGGACCCCUCACUCCUCUGGCUUUUCUGUUACCUUUCUAGCAACUCACUUUAGACUCUGUUGACCCUUCCUGUUCUGUCCACCUUUCUUUUUUUUUUUUUGAGACAGAGUCUUGCUCUGUCACCCAGGCUGGAGUGCAGUGGCACAAUCACAGCUGACUGCAACCUCCGUCUCCUGGGUUGAAGUGAUUCUCCUGUUUCAGCCUCCUGAGUCGUUGGGAUUAUAGGUACAUGCCACCAUACCUGGCUAAUUUUUGUAUUUUUAGUAGAGAUGGGGUUUCACUCUGUUGGCCAGGCUGGUCUCAAACUCCUGACCUCAGGUGAUCCACCCACCUCAGUCUCCUAAAGUGCUGGAAUUACAGGUGUGAGCCACUGCACCUGGUCUCUAUCUGACUUUUAAAUGCUGGUGUAUCCCAGAGUUCAGGAUUUAGAGCUCUUCUUUCUUCCAUCUAUAGAGUGCUCAUUUCUUUGGUGAUCUCAUUCAGUCUCAUGGCUUUAAAGGUCAGUUAUGCUGGUAAGUCCCAACUUUCUCUGUCUAGCCUAAACUUCCCCUAAAAGCAGGACCUGAUAUCAAACUGCCUAUUUGACAUCUCCACUUAGAUAUCUAAUAAGCAUCUCUAAUUUAAAAUUUCCCUCCUACACUUGUUUGGUUUUCCCCUUCUAAGCUAAUGGCAACUUCACCCCUCCAGUUGCUUACGCCAAAACUUUGAGUAGUUUUUGACUGCUUUUUUUCUCCCUUCUCACAUUGCUUACCUGGUCUUUCGGGCAAAUCAUGUUUGGUAUAACUUCAAAAUAUAUCUAAAUUCUAUACUUCUCACCACCCCUCAUUCCCAUUAUCUUUGAAACACAGUCCAAUGAGGUUUUUAUCCUUACUAUUCCACCAAAAACACCUCGCGAAAGUCACCACAUGAUGGUUCUUCAGGCCAUCAUUUGUCUCCUGAAUUAUUUUAAGAGCCUCCUAACUGGUGUCCUUGUUCCAGCCCCGGCUCCCUUCACUCUAUCCUCAAUACAACAGAGGGAGUUUAUUAAACAGUAAGUCAGAUCAUAUCUUUCUUUUUGAAACCCUCCAAUGCUUUCCCACUUCAUUCAGAGUAAAAGUUAAAGGGUUUAUUUUGAUCUGUAAAUAAUAUUUCGAACCCUAUGAUCUAGUUUCUUCUUACCCAAAGUAUGGGCCUCAUACGAGCAGAACUGGCAUUCUCUGGGAGCUUGUUAGACAUGUAGACUCUCUGAUCCUAAGUCAGAUUUGCUAAAUCAGAAUCUGCAUUUUCAUCAUCUGUCUAGGCAAUUCGUAUGUUUGAGAGGAACUACUGCCUCUCCUGCAGCUAUGUGCUGCUCUAGUCACACUGGCCUCUUGGCUAUUUUGAUAAGAUGGAAACUCUCCUGCCUCAGGGCUUUUGCACCUACUGCUCCCAUAAUCUUCCACAGAAAACUGCAUGCUAGUUGCCUUAUUUUCUUCAGGUCUUUAUUCAAGUCACUUUCUCAUUAAACACUCUCUGACCCAUCCUGUCUAAAACUACAUCCCCAACCCCUUCCUAUACCUUUUCUCCACUUUUUAAAAUUUAUCCUGUUUAUUGUCUGACUCAACAGUAGAAUUUAAACUUUAAAGGGCUAGGACUUUUAUCUGUUUUGAUCAAUGCUUUAUAUCUAAUGCCUGGAACAAUGGCACACAGUAGACACUAGAAAGUUUUUAUUGAAUGAAUAAGUAACUAAGCAGCCUUUAAAAUAGUCUUGGAGAACAUUUUCAUCUGAGUAGUGAGGUCAAAAGGCAGAUAUUAAUGAAGUGAGAAAUAAAUGUGAGGGAACGAAACAGAAUUAUAAAGUUUAGUCUAUUUUUUAAAAAGCCCUAAAGAAUAUUAAAAUAAUUCAUCUUAGGGAUUAGCUAGCACUUUAUUAGUGAACACAUUUUCUCUUUGGCAAAUAUUUUCUAACUAUCUAGAAAAGAUAAAAAUCCAAGUGGAACAGAGAUUUUCAAGAAAAGAGGUGGACUACUGUUAUUAACCUUUUUCUAUAUUUCUUUACAUAUUUGUCCAGAGAUUCCAUGGAAGGAGAAGGGGGUGGAGUGGGAAAAGGAACAGAAGUCAGCUAAAGUUCCUAAGCAUCUGGAAUAAAAAACCAUAUUAAAAAAAUCUGAUCUUUAGGAAAAGACUAUUUUAAUAUCUGUGGCAAUUUGAACAGAAAAUGCAUUUUUUUGUAGAGCUAGCUUUACGGCAGGUAUUUCCUUAAUGGUGACUAUAUAAUUUCCUUAACUGGAGUCACCAAUGUUUGCUAAAUCCCACAUAUUGUUGUACCAGUUCAGAAAACCCGGAGCACUGCACAAGAUAAUUGAAUGCAGAUUAUAAAGUGGUUUAUGAUGGCUGUCACUCUCUUUUCAAAGUGAAACAAAUGCACCCUCUAUUCUUAUCAUAUCAAACUGCCUCUUUAGGACCUCUUCUUUGGUUAGAAGCUUUGUUUUGAUGCCUAUGGAGCGGUCCAAUGUCCCCAAACAUGUGCUUACCCAGUGGUAGCCAGAUCAUUACUCUCCUUGGAGCCAUCUUCAUCUGCAAAAAGGGGCGGUAGAGUGGAACUAGUCAUCAAGUUUUCCAUCCCUCUGAAAGGAAGAGAGAAUUUAAAAACAAAAUUAAUGGCUUAAUUACUUCCAGUUCAAGUUCCACUAAUUUAGAAGCCAGCCUUCCUGAACUUUAUCAUUUAAACAACAGAAUAGAAACUGACCUACAUAUUUAUUUCCUUGACUUGGACACAUCAAUUUAAACUGUAUGGUGAA